GAAUGAGAUGAUGAUUAUAUUAUGUUUCCCUAUUGGUUUGAUUGCCGAUAUGAUGGCGUCAACGUUGUAUUAGCUCUAGCUGAUCGUUU